rnacentral:rRNA from 1 species
CCUACGGGUGGCAGCAGUGAGGAAUAUUGGUCAAUGGGCGAGAGCCUGAACCAGCCAAGUCGCGUGAGGGAAGACGGUCCUAUGGAUUGUAAACCUCUUUUGUCGGGGAGCAAAAAGGCCUCGUGAGGCCACAAGUGAGAGUACCCGAAGAAAAAGCAUCGGCUAACUCCGUGCCAGCAGCCGCGGUAAUACGGAGGAUGCGAGCGUUAUCCGGAUUUAUUGGGUUUAAAGGGUGCGUAGGCGGGCAUUUAAGCCGGCGGUCAAAUGUCGGGGCUCAACCCCGGCCUGCCGUCGGAACUGGGUGCCUUGAGUGGGCGAGAAGUAUGCGGAAUGCGUGGUGUAGCGGUGAAAUGCAUAGAUAUCACGCAGAACCCCGAUUGCGAAGGCAGCAUACCGGCGCCCUACUGACGCUGAGGCACGAAAGUGCGGGUAUCGAACAGGAUUAGAUACCCGGGUAGUC